CUUCCUGCCUCUUAAAAGAGUCGAUGGUUUAUCUAGUAUUCAUUUACUGUCUGUGAUACGAACAGAACUUUUCUGAAGAUUGUACAGAAAUGUUAGGGUUGAUACAUUCGCCGUUCUCUCGCAAAACACAUGGCUCUGUAUCCUAUAACAGAAAUUACAGUGAAUUGCUUCAUUGGGGUAUAAAGUCUGGAAAAGGAAAUUACCUUAGUGAAUAAAAGUCAAACAAAUUUCUCCGUGUGUUGACUGGAAGCUUAAAGAUGUGUUGAAUUUGACAGAAAAUUUGCUUGUAAUAAUGCAUAGACGUUUCCUUUCUCCUGAAAAGGGUGAUAAUUAAAGGACAAGCGCAGUUACAACCAGAUAAAUACAUUAAAUGUUUUCCUUUGUUUCCGCAUUAAAAUUGUUAUCGUUCUAGUAAAAUUUAAACUGCCCAUUAAAGCUAAAUUGCUAUCGUAUUUACCAUAGUGUUUAUGAUCCGCUUAAGUAAUUAAAAUCAAAUUCCGAUGAUUGAGGCCGAAUCUUUAUACUCUCCACCAUAGAGCGCAUUUGUCGAGCUCUUUUCCCGAUAUCUCCUUUUAGGCAAACAAAGGAUAAAAGAAAAUAAUUGAUUUAAUAUUGGAGCUUCAUCAAGUUAUAGUCCGAUUCGGACCAUCAUUGAAUUGAAUGUUGGAGACCAUAGUAGAAGUCAAUUCGUGUAAGAAUUGCGCCCUUAGGAGCUCAAGAAGUAAAAUAGAGAGAUCGGUUUAUAUGGGAGCUGUAUCAGGCUAUAGACCGAUUCGGACCAUAUUUGACAAAUAUGUUGGUUGAAGGUCAUGGAAGAAGAAUUUUAGCCAAAUCGGAUAAUAAUUACGCCCUCUGGAGGCUUAAGAAGUCAAGAUCCCAGAUCGGUUUAUAUGCAGCUAUAUCAGGUUAUGGAUCGAUUUGAACCCUAUUCGAAACAGUUGUUAGAAGUCAUAACAAAACAUCUCAUGCAAAAUUUCAGCCCAUUCGGAUAAGAAUUGCGCCCUCUAGUGCCUCAAGAAGUCAAGAUUCAAGACCGGUUUAUAAGGCAGCAAUAAGAAUUGUGCCCUCUAGAGGCUCAAGAAGUCAAGACCCAAGAUCGGUUUAUAUGGCAGCUAUAGACCGAUGUAGCCCAUUUACAAUCCCAACCAACCUACACUAAUAAGAAGUAUUUGCGCAAAAUUUCAAGCGGCUAGCUUUACUCCUUCAAAAGUUGGCGUGCUUUCGACGGACAGACGGAUGGACGGACAUGGCUAGAUCGACUUAAAAUGUCAUGACGAUCAAGAAUAUAUAAACUUUAUGGGGUCUAAGACGAAUAUUUCGAGGAGUUAUAAACAGAAUGACGAAAUUAGUACACCCCCAUCCCAUGGUGGAGGGUAAAAAAAUGGGCACAUUUUGAAACAAUUGUAUGCUUUGCUGUAAGGAAAUGUUUCUACAAAUAAAAUAUCUUACAUUUCAAUCUUAAAGCUGAGUUGCACAUCUAGCGAAAUUUUCGGUAGCAGCCAAAACAUUUAUGUCGCCACUGAAAAAUAGUUGUGUAGAAUACAAGAUGGUUACAAACAUCUAUUUAUAGAUUUGUCUGAAUUUUAAUAAUUUUUGGCUAAUAAAGUACGUAUGUGCUGUAA